UACGUAGGGUCCGAGCGUUGUCCGGAAUUAUUGGGCGUAAAGGGCUCGUAGGCGGUUCGUCACGUCGGGAGUGAAAACUCGGAGCUUAACUCCGAGCCUGCUUCCGAUACGGGCAGACUAGAGGUAGGCAGGGGAGAGCGGAACUCCUGGUGUAGCGGUGGAAUGCGCAGAUAUCAGGAAGAACACCGGUGGCGAAGGCGGCUCUCUGGGCCUGACCUGACGCUGAGGAGCGAAAGCGUGGGGAGCGAACAGG
rnacentral:rRNA from 1 species